ensembl:lncRNA
GCCGCCUCUCGCCCGCCGCGGCGGGGCGCGGGCGGGGAUCCCUGGGGCUCCGCGGGGACAGGCGGACAGCUCGGGAUCGGAAGUGCGCAACAGGUGGGGCUCUGCAUUGCCUCAGCGAAAGUCCGUCUGAGAGCCUCUGGCCUUGCUGUGUCCGCACCCCUUUAGUGUGUGCUCUUACCCACAUCUUGAAACUGGGGAUACCUAUAGAAAAGAAACAUAUGGCAGUGGAGUUCUCGGAACUGCCCUAUGUGCUCUGUCUCCUGCAUACACUUAGAAGUUUCACGUGGAUCAGGAGCUUUCCCUCUGUCUUGUACAGCCCUGAAACAGGUUAGUUUGCCUGCCAAAUAAGCCAUGGCUAGAUACCCACAUUUCUUCCACCUCCCCAUCAUGUUCUGGACCCACUUCUACACAGAGGUUGCAAAAUAGAGGAUGUUAUCCGGACUGAUGUGGCUGCUCCAAUCUGCUACCCCAAAUGAUGAGGCUUGCAAUACCAUUGGAAUAAAGUCUACUCCUACAGAACCCUACAGAAACAAUACAGGAUUUUUUUAUAUUUUUCCAGUCCUGUCUUGCUUUCUUUCCCCUCCGCCCAUACCCACCUCUCGGGGAAGCUGGGCGAGCAGAGCAGAGCACGAAGGGAAGCUGGGCGAGCAGCGCCGUCGCGCCCCA